UUCCUUGGAAAAGGACAGCUGAGAGGGUGAAACUCCCGUCCGCCUGGUAGAAUGAGUCUUUGUCAACGAGUCGAGUUGUUUGGGAUUGCAGCUCUAAUUUGGUGGUAAAUUCCAUCUAAAGCUAAAUAUUGGUGGGAGACCGAUAGCGUACAAGUACCGUGAGGGAAAGAUGCAAAGGACUUUGAAAAGAGAGUUAAAGAGUACCUGAAAUUGCUGAAACGGAAGCGAAGGAAACCAGUGUUUGUUGGUUCAUAUUUCCUUGGCCACUUGUGGUUUGGGCG
rnacentral:rRNA from 1 species